rnacentral:rRNA from 1 species
CUANCGCUGGCGGCAUGCCUNANACAUAGUUACCGAACUGGCAGCGCGGGGAAGCUUGCUUCCCUGGCGGCGAGUGGCGAACGGGUGAGUAACACAUCGGAACGUACCGGCUAGUGGGGGAUAACCCGUCGAAAGACGGGCUAAUACCGCAUACGCUCUUAGGAGGAAAGCAGGGGACCUUCGGGCCUUGCGCUAGCCGAGCGGCCGAUGUCCGAUUAGCUAGUUGGUGGGGUAAAGGCCUACCAAGGCGACGAUCGGUAGCGGGUCUGAGAGGACGAUCCGCCACACUGGGACUGAGACACGCCCAGACUCCUACGGGAGGCAGCAGUGGGGAAUCUUGACAAUGGGGGCAACCCUGAUCCAGCAAUGCCGCGUGGGUGAAGAAGGCCUUCGGGUUGUAAAGCCCUUUCGGCAGGGAAGAAAUCGGCAGGGCGAAUAACCCUGCUGGAUGACGGUACCUGCAGAAGAAGCACCGGCUAACUACGUGCCAGCAGCCGCGGUAAUACGUAGGGUGCGAGCGUUAAUCGGAUUUACUGGCUAAACUCAGGCGGCCCGUUAAGACAGGUGUGAAAUCCCUGGGCUCAACCUAGGAAUUGCGCUUGUGACUGGCUCGAGUACGGUAGAGGGGGGUGGAAUUCCUGGUGUAGCACUGAAAGAGAUCAGGAGAACACCGAUGGCGAAGGUAGCCUGGGCCUGUAUAGACGCUCAUGCACGAAACUGGGGAGCAAACAGGAUUAGAUACCAUGUUAUCCACGCCCUAAACGAUGGGUACUAGGCGUUUGGUGCAUUGAAGCGCUGAGUGGCGAAUUAAUGUGUAAAGUACCCCGCCUGGGGAGUACGGCCGUAAGGCAAGGUUGAAACUCAAAGGAAUUGACGGGGACCCGCACAACGGUGGAUGAUGUGGAUUAAUUCGAUGCAACGCGAAGAACCUUACCUACCCUUGACAUGCCCCGACCUGGGAGAGAUCCUGGGGUGCCCGAAAGGGAACGGGGACACAGGUGCUGCAUGGCUGUCGUCAGCUCGUGUCGUGAGAUAUGUUGGGUACCCUUAUGGGUAGGGCUUCACACGUCAUACAAGUGCGCGUACAGAGGGCACGAAGCCGCGAGGUGGAGCCAAUCCCAGAAAGCGCGUCGUAGUCCGGAUUGCAGUCUGCAACUCGACUGCAUGAAGUCGGAAUCGCUAGUAAUCGCGGAUCAGCAUGCCGCGGUGAAUACGUUCCCGGGUCUUGUACACACCGCCCGUCACACCAUGGGAGUGGGGUGCACCAGAAGUCGGUAGCCUAACCGCAAGGAGGUCGCCGCCCANGGUGUGCUCCAUGACUGGGG